rnacentral:misc_RNA from 1 species
ACAAUGUCGCACAGCCAG